rnacentral:rRNA from 1 species
AGGCGACGACGGGUAGCCGGCCUGAGAGGGCGACCGGCCACACUGGGACUGAGACACGGCCCAGACUCCUACGGGAGGCAGCAGUGGGGAAUAUUGCACAAUGGGCGAAAGCCUGAUGCAGCGACGCCGCGUGAGGGAUGACGGCCUUCGGGUUGUAAACCUCUUUCAGCAGGGAAGAAGCGAAAGUGACGGUACCUGCAGAAGAAGCGCCGGCUAACUACGUGCCAGCAGCCGCGGUAAUACGUAGGGCGCAAGCGUUGUCCGGAAUUAUUGGGCGUAAAGAGCUCGUAGGCGGCUUGUCACGUCGGUUGUGAAAGCCCGGGGCUUAACCCCGGGUCUGCAGUCGAUACGGGCAGGCUAGAGUGUGGUAGGGGAGAUCGGAAUUCCUGGUGUAGCGGUGAAAUGCGCAGAUAUCAGGAGGAACACCGGUGGCGAAGGCGGAUCUCUGGGCCAUUACUGACGCUGAGGAGCGAAAGCGUGGGGAGCGAACAGGAUUAGAUACCCUGGUAGU